rnacentral:sRNA from 1 species
CGCGCAGCCUCCGCCGCUGCACACUGCGGCCUCUGCUGAACCCCUGCCGCGCCGCCGCCUUCGCCAGUCCGGACCGGACCGGCCCGCGUUCCCUUCCUCCGCUCCAGCCGGCCUCCGGCCCCGCAACCUCCUCCUCGGCGAAGUCUCCCUGGCCGCCCCAUGUCGGCCGCCCCCGCCUACAGCGAAGACAAGGGCGGCUCCGCUGGCCCCGGGGAGCCCGAGUACGGCCACGACCCCGCGAGCGGCGGCAUCUUCUCCUCCGACUACAAGCGACACAUUGUUUCACCAUGUUGCCAGGCUGGUCUCGAACUCCAGGGCUCAAGUGAUCCUCCCGUCUCAGCUUCCCAAAGUGCUGGGAUUACAGGCGUGAGCUGCCACACCCAGCCCACAUGGCUGUCUUCUUAUGGGAAACCAGACAUGGGAUUAGAGACCCACUCUAUUAGAGCAUGAUGACCUGAAGGAGAUGCUGGACACCAACAAGGAUUCUCUCAAGCUGGA